rnacentral:rRNA from 1 species
UGAACGCUAGCGGCAGGCCUAAUACAUGCAAGUCGAACGGUAGAUUACUUUCGGGUAAUUGAGAGUGGCGCACGGGUGCGUAACGCGUAUGCAACCUACCCUAUACAGGGGGAUAGCCCGGAGAAAUCUGGAUUAAUACCCCAUAGCACUAUGUUGAGGCAUUUCGAUAUAGUUAAAGAUUCAUCGGUAUAGGAUGGGCAUGCGUCUGAUUAGCUAGUUGGCGGUGUAACGGACCACCAAGGCGACGAUCAGUAGGGGUUCUGAGAGGAAGGUCCCCCACACUGGCACUGAGAUACGGGCCAGACUCCUACGGGAGGCAGCAGUAGGGAAUAUUGGGCAAUGGACGAGAGUCUGACCCAGCCAUGCCGCGUGCAGGAAGACGGCGUUCUGCGUUGUAAACUGCUUUUAUCUGGGAAGAAAAGGCCCAUGCGUGGGACAUUGCCGGUACCAGAUGAAUAAGCACCGGCUAACUCCGUGCCAGCAGCCGCGGUAAUAC